UACGAAGGGGGCUAGCGUUGCUCGGAAUCACUGGGCGUAAAGCGCACGUAGGCGGAUCUUUAAGUCAGGGGUGAAAUCCCAAGGCUCAACCUUGGAACUGCCUUUGAUACUGGGGAUCUCGAGUCCGGAAGAGGUGAGUGGAACUGCGAGUGUAGAGGUGAAAUUCGUAGAUAUUCGGAAGAACACCAGUGGCGAAGGCGGCUCACUGGCCCGUUACCGACGCUCAGGCGCGACAGCGUGGGGAGCAAACAGGG
rnacentral:rRNA from 1 species